GGCAAGAUGUCCGAGUGGUCUAUGGAGUUCCGCUCAAGUUUGACUUGUAGUAACUUACCUUUGUAAAAGAGGUGCCGGAAUGUCGCAAGACGCGUGGGUUCGAAUCCCACUCUUGUCA